rnacentral:rRNA from 1 species
GACGGGGGGGGCAAGGGUUCUUCGGAAUGACUGGGCGGAAAGGGCACGUAGGCGGUGAAUCGGGUUGGAAGUGAAAGUCGCCAAAAAGUGGCGGAAUGCUCUCGAAACCAAUUCACUUGAGUGAGACAGAGGAGAGUGGAAUUUCGUGUGUAGGGGUGAAAUCCGUAGAUCUACGAAGGAACGCCAAAAGCGAAGGCAGCUCUCUGGGUCCCUACCGACGCUGGGGUGCGAAAGCAUGGGGAGCGAACAGG